AAGAGCCACAAGGGCUGUGUAUGCCUAAGAUCGUCCUCCAUCAGUGGUAUCACCAAAUCA
rnacentral:misc_RNA from 1 species